rnacentral:rRNA from 1 species
GACAGAGGGUGCAAACGUUGUUCGGAAUUACUGGGCGUAAAGCGCGUGUAGGCGGCCCUGCAAGUCGGGUGUGAAAUCCCACGGCUCAACCGUGGAAGUGCACUCGAAACUGCAGGGCUAGAGUCCUGGAGAGGAAGGUGGAAUGCUUGGUGUAGAGGUGAAAUUCGUAGAUAUCAAGCGGAACACCGGUGGCGAAGGCGGCCUUCUGGACAGUGACUGACGCUGAGACGGCGAAAAGCGGUGGGGAGCAAACAGG